AUUUUAAUUUUGAAUCCUCCAAUCCUCUAAAUGUAAUUAUUGGCAGAGAGUCACGUCAUUAAAAAAAAUAUUUGUAGAUAUACUGCAUGCCUACCAUAGGCGAAAUGAGUAUUGGUUACACUACAAUUAGGGUGUGGAAAUGUUAUGUCCCUUAGAUAUUAAUUUAGAAUCCUCCAAUCCUCUUAUGCUGUAGCCUACUCCCGACCAUCGUGUUGUACAGUGCAAUAUUUUCCAUUCUUAACGGAAACCCUGAGGGUUUCGUUUUUCUGGGAAUAGAAACACCACAAUAUUAAUCAAAUAAAUGACAUUUUUAAUUUUAAUUAGAUUUUUAAAAUCAAUCCCAUGUACUAUGUUAUUACAAAAAAGGGUUUAAAUUCUCUAAUAAUGCCAAUAUGGGAGACUAUCAAAUGCUUCUCAAAGUUGCCCUCUGUUGCCCGCAAGUUGCACUAACUUGCAUUAACGUAAAAAAAAUGGCUGACAAUGAAUUAGCGUGCCAUAGAAUGCUGCAGCAGCCCGCAAGGUGUGCUGCAGUAUGAUGCAACUUUUAAAGGAGGAACCACAGUAGAUGAACGGAUGAUCUCCGCAUGUUAUUUCUCACUGUCAAGCAUGGAGGAGGAGAUGUGAUGGUGUGGGGGUGCUUUGCUGGUGACACCUUCAGUGAUUUAUUUAGAAUUCAAGGCACACAUUACCAGCAUCGCUACCACAGCAUUCUGCAGUGAUACGCCAUCAUAUCUGGUUUGCGCUUAGUGGGACUAUCAUUUGUUUUUCAACAGGACAAUAACCCAACACAGCCCCAGGCUAUGUAAGAGCUAUCUGACCAAGCACAGCAUUCUGCAGUGACACGCCAUCAUAUCUGGUUUGCGCUUAGUGGGACUAUCAUUUGUUUUUCAACAGGACAAUAACCCAACACACCCCCAGGCUAUGUAAGAGCUAUCUGACCAAGAAGGAUAAUGGAGUGCUGCAUCAGAUGACCUGACCGCCACAAUUACCGAUUACAACCCAAUUGCGAUGGUUUGGGAUUAGUUGGACCACAGAGUGAAGAAAAAGCAGCCAACAAGUGCUCAGCAUAUAUGGGAACUCCUUCAAGAUUGUUGGAAAAGCAUUCCAGGAGAAGCUGGUUGAGAGAAUGCCAAGAGCGUACAAAGCUGUCAUCAAGGCAAAGGGUGGCUAAUUUGAAGAAUCUCAAACAUAAAAUAUACAGGUAUUUUGAUUUUUUAAACACUUCUUUGGUUACUAUAUGAUCCAUGUGUUAUUUCAUAGUUGUGAUAUCUUCACUAUUACUCUACAAUGUAUAACAUAGUACAAAUAAAUAAAAACCCUUGAAUGAGAAGGUGUCCAAACUUUUGACUGGUACUGUAUGUAAAUUAGAUAUUUAAUUCUCAAUAAAUUAGCAACAUUUCUAAAAACAUGUUUUCUCUUCAUCAUUAUGGAGUAUUGUGUUUAGAUGGGUUUAGUAUUGUUGGGCACUCUCGAGUGGCGCAGCGGUCUAAGGCACUGCAUCUCAGUGCUAGAGGCGUCACUACAGAUUCUGGUUCGAUCCCGGGUUCUAUCACCACCGACCGUGAUCGUGAGACCCAUAGGGUGGCGCACAAUUUGCGCUGCGUUGUCCGGGUUAGGGGAAGGUUUGGCUGGGGUAGGCCAUCAUUGUAAAAUAAGAAUUUGUUCUUAACUGACUUGCAUAGUUAAAUACAUUUUGAAUUCACACUGUAACACAACUAAAUGUGGAAUAAGUCAAGGGGUAUGAAUACAUUCUGAAGGCACUGUAUGUACUGUACUGUGUUACACACAUCUUAAAAAGCCAGUAUUUUCAGUUGUUGAGUUAUUGAGCUACAACCAGGAUAUUACAUUUCCCUUCCUCAACCCACUACCCACGCAGGAUACCGGCAGCCCACCCACCCACCGCCUGCCUGCCUGUCUCUCAGCCCUGGCCCAGCUCCACUCAAACUUUCCACAGUUGGGCAAGGGCUCUGUGGCGGUCGGUGCGUUUAGCACGCAGCCUGCGUCAGCCACACCACAGCCUGGGGACCAGAGGCUGCCACAGGGGCGGAGCCAGGAGACAACAGCCUGACUCCAGAGGGCAGGCUAAGGCAUCAGCAUGGCGACGUCACACAUAUCUGAGGGGCCGACACGGGAGAAGGGCCGGUCUAACACACAGGCCCUGCUGCAUAGUGUGGUUACUGCAUCCAGGCUAUUUAUAUGUGUCUCUUCUUCAGAGAAGGAAGCUGGACCUAUUGAAUCCAGAUGUGAGAGGACAGACAGAAGGCACAAGACAGAACCAGAGCUGGAGGAGACAGACUGGGCCAGAGUGGCAGCCUACGGUGUCUGAACAAGGAACACAAAAAAACAGGACACAUUGUGCCGGCUCUGCGCUCCAGACCUCCAGUGAUGAUCCAUAGCCCGGAGCCUCCAGUGACGAUCCACGGUCCGGUUCCUCCGGCGACGAUUCAUGGUCCGGAGUCUCUAGCGAGGAUCCACGGUCCGGAGCUUCCGGCGAUGAUCCCCGCACCAGAGUCACCACCUGAGCUGGCGGAUUCGCAAGCGGAGCGGGGUCGACGUCCCGCACCGGAGCCGCCACCGAGGCUGGAUGCCCACCCGGACACUCCCCUAUAGUCAGAUUUUGUGGCCAGAGUCCGCACCUUUGGGGGGGGUACUGUCAUGCCCUGUCCUUAGAGAUCAUUUUAUUUCUCUAUUUGGUUAGGUCAGGGUGUGACAAGGGUGGACAUUCUAGUUUUUUGUUUCUAGGCAGAGGCAGCUGUCUAUUGUUGUCUCUGAUUGGGGAUCAUAUUUAGGCAUCCUUUUUCCACCUGUUGUGUGUGGGAUCUUGUUUUUGUAUUGUAGCCUUUUUGCACUACAAAGCUGCACGUUUGUUUUGUUACCCUUUAUUGUUUUGACCCUUUAUUGUUUUGUUGCUGGCUCACAUUAAUAAAACUGGAUGAACACCUUC